rnacentral:SRP_RNA from 1 species
GCCGGGCGUGGUGGCGCGCGUCUGUACUCCCAGCUACUGGGGAGGCUGAGGCAGGAGGAUCGCUUGAACCUGGGAGGCAGAGUUGCAGUGAACAGAGAUCGCGCCACUGCAACCCAGCCUGGGUGACAGAGCGAGACUCUGUCUCAA